GUGGGGAAUAUUGGACAAUGGGGGGAACCCUGAUCCAGCCAUGCCGCGUGUGUGAAGAAGGCCUUUUGGUUGUAAAGCACUUUAAGCGAGGAGGAGGCUACCGAGAUUAAUACUCUUGGAUAGUGGACGUUACUCGCAGAAUAAGCACCGGCUAACUCUGUGCCAGCAGCCGCGGUAAUACAGAGGGUGCGAGCGUUAAUCGGAUUUACUGGGCGUAAAGCGUGCGUAGGCGGCUUUUUAAGUCGGAUGUGGAAUCCCCGAGCUUAACGUGGGAAGUGCAUUCGAUACUGGGAAGCUAGAGUAUGGGAGAGGAUGGUAGAAUUCCAGGUGUAGCGGUGAAAUGCGUAGAGAUCUGGAGGAAUACCGAUGGCGAAGGCAGCCAUCUGGCCUAAUACUGACGCUGAGGUACGAAAGCAUGGGGAGCAAACAGGAUUAGAAACCCGGGUAGUCC
rnacentral:rRNA from 1 species